rnacentral:tRNA from 1 species
ACUGGGUUGGCCGAGUGGUUAAGGCGUUGGACUUAAGUUCCAAUGGACAAGUGUCCACGUGGGUUCGAACCCCACACCCAGUA